rnacentral:rRNA from 1 species
GACGUAGGGCGCGAGCGUUGUCCGGAUUUAUUGGGCGUAAAGAGCUCGUAGGCGGCUCGUUGCGUCGGCUGUGAAAACCGGCAGCUCAACUGUGGGCUUGCAGCCGAUACGGGCGGGCUUGAGUUCGGUAGGGGAGACUGGAAUUCCUGGUGUAGCGGUGAAAUGCGCAGAUAUCAGGAAGAACACCCGUGGCGAAGGCGGCUCUCUGGGACGGUACUGACGCUGAGACGCGAAAGCGUGGGGAGCGAACAGG